UACGGGGGGGGCAAGCGUUGUUCGGAAUUACUGGGCGUAAAGGGCGCGUAGGCGGUCUUGUCAGUCCCUUGUGAAAUCCCCCGGCUCAACUGGGGAACUGCACGGGAAACAGCAGGGCUUGAGUUCGGGAGAGGGAAGCGGAAUUCCGGGUGUAGCGGUGAAAUGCGUAGAUAUCCGGAGGAACACCGGUGGGCGAAGGCGGCUUCCUGGACCGAUGACUGACGCUGAGGCGCGAAAGACUAGGGGAGCAAACGGG
rnacentral:rRNA from 1 species